rnacentral:rRNA from 1 species
GAUGAACGCUGGCGGCGUGCCUAAUACAUGCAAGUCGAGCGAACGGACGAGAAGCUUGCUUCUCUGAUGUUAGCGGCGGACGGGUGAGUAACACGUGGAUAACCUACCUAUAAGACUGGGAUAACUUCGGGAAACCGUAGCUAAUACCGGAUAAUAUUUUGAACCGCAUGGUUCAAAAGUGAAAGACGGUCUUGCUGUCACUUAUAGAUGGAUCCGCGCUGCAUUAGCUAGUUGGUAAGGUAACGGCUUACCAAGGCAACGAUGCAUAGCCGACGUGAGAGGGGGAUCGGCCACACUGGAACGGAGACACGGUCCAGACUCCUACGGGAGGCAGCAGUAGGGAAUAUUCCGCAAUGGGCGAAAGCCUGACGGAGCAACGCCGCGUGAGUGAUGAAGGUCUUCGGAUCGUAAAACUCUGUUAUUAGGGAAGAACAUAUGUGUAAGUAACUGUGCACAUCUUGACGGUACCUAAUCAGAAAGCCACGGCUAACUACGUG